rnacentral:rRNA from 1 species
UACGUAGGGUGCAAGCGUUAAUCGGAAUUACUGGGCGUAAAGCGUGCGCAGGCGGUUUGGUAAGACAGAUGUGAAAUCCCCGGGCUUAACCUGGGAAUUGCAUUUGUGACUGCCCGGCUAGAGUGUGUCAGAGGGGGGGUAGAAUUCCACGUGUAGCAGUGAAAUGCGUAGAGAUGUGGAGGAAUACCGAUGGCGAAGGCAGCCCCCCUGGGAUAACACUGACGCUCAUGCACGAAAGCGUGGGGGAG